UACGUAGGUGGCAAGCGUUGUCCGGAUUUACUGGGCGUAAAGCGAACGCAGGCGGAUUGUUAAGUCUAAAGUGAAAGGUCACAGCUCAACUCCAACAGUGCUUUCGAUACUGGAAGACUUGAGUGGAGGAGAGGAAAGGGGAACUACAUGUGUAGCGGUGAAAUGCGUAGAGAUGUGUAGGAACACCCAUGGCGAAAGCGCCCUUCUGGACUGAAACUGACGCUCAGGCACGAAAGCGAAGGUAGCGAACAGG
rnacentral:rRNA from 1 species